CCUACGGGUGGCAGCAGUGGGGAAUAUUGCGCAAUGGGCGAAAGCCUGACGCAGCGACGCCGCGUGAGGGAUGAAGGUCUUCGGAUCGUAAACCUCUGUCAGCAGGGAAGAACGGUCACUGUGCUAAUCAGCAGUGAAUUGACGGUACCUGCAAAGGACUCACCGGCUAACUCCGUGCCAGCAGCCGCGGUAAUCCGGAGGGUGCGAGCGUUAAUCGGAAUUACUGGGCGUAAGGCGCUCGUAGGCGGUAUGUCAAGUAAAGGGUGAAAUCCCCGCGCUCAACGUGGGAACUGCCGUUGAAACUGGCAGACUGGAGUGUGUCAGAGGAUAGUGGAAUUCCAGGUGUAGGAGUGAAAUCCGUAGAUAUCUGGAGGAACAUCAGUGGCGAAGGCGACUAUCUGGCACAUAACUGACGCUGAGGAGCGAAAGCGUGGGUAGCAAACAGGAUUAGAUACCCCUGUAGUC
rnacentral:rRNA from 1 species